rnacentral:rRNA from 2 species
CCGUUCCCAUGCCGAACACGGAAGUUAAGCUCUUCAGCGCCGAUGGUAGUCGGGGGUUUCCCCCUGUGAGAGUAGGACGCCGCCAAGC